UGGGAAAUAUUGCACAAUGGGGGAAACCCUGAUGCAGCGACGCCGCGUGAACGAAGAAGGUAUUCGUAUCGUAAAGUUCUGUCCUAUGGGAAGAUAAUGACAGUACCAUAGAAGAAAGCUCCGGCUAAAUACGUGCCAGCAGCCGCGGUAAUACGUAUGGAGCGAGCGUUGUCCGGAAUUAUUGGGCGUAAAGGGUACGCAGGCGGUUUAAUAAGUCGAAUGUUAAAGAUCGGGGCUCAACCCCGUAAAGCAUUGGAAACUGAUAAACUUGAGUAGUGGAGAGGAAAGUGGAAUUCCUAGUGUAGUGGUGAAAUACGUAGAUAUUAGGAGGAAUACCAGUAGCGAAGGCGACUUUCUGGACACAAACUGACGCUGAGGUACGAAAGCGUGGGGAGCAAACAGG
rnacentral:rRNA from 1 species